AUUGAACGCUAGCGGGAUGCUUUACACAUGCAAGUCGAACGGCAGCGCGGACUUCGGUCUGGCGGCGAGUGGCGAACGGGUGAGUAAUGUAUCGGAACGUGCCCAGUAGCGGGGGAUAACUACGCGAAAGCGUAGCUAAUACCGCAUACGCCCUACGGGGGAAAGCAGGGGAUCGUAAGACCUUGCACUAUUGGAGCGGCCGAUAUCGGAUUAGCUAGUUGGUGAGGUAACGGCUCACCAAGGCGACGAUCCGUGGCUGGUUUGAGAGGACGACCAGCCACACUGGGACUGAGACACGGCCCAGACUCCUACGGGAGGCAGCAGUGGGGAAUUUUGGACAAUGGGGGCAACCCUGAUCCAGCCAUCCCGCGUGUGCGAUGAAGGCCUUCGGGUUGUAAAGCACUUUUGGCAGGAAAGAAACGUCGCGGGCUAAUACCCCGUGGAACUGACGGUACCUGCAGAAUAAGCACCGGCUAACUACGUG
rnacentral:rRNA from 1 species